rnacentral:rRNA from 1 species
GACGAACGCUGGCGGCGUGCUUAACACAUGCAAGUCGAACGGAAAGGCCCUGCUUUUGUGGGGUGCUCGAGUGGCGAACGGGUGAGUAACACGUGAGUAACCUGCCCUUGACUUUGGGAUAACUUCAGGAAACUGGGGCUAAUACCGGAUAGGAGCUCCUGCUGCAUGGUGGGGGUUGGAAAGUUUCGGCGGUUGGGGAUGGACUCGCGGCUUAUCAGCUUGUUGGUGGGGUGGUGGCUUACCAAGGCUUUGACGGGUAGCCGGCCUGAGAGGGUGACCGGCCACAUUGGGACUGAGAUACGGCCCAGACUCCUACGGGAGGCAGCAGUGGGGAAUAUUGCACAAUGGGCGGAAGCCUGAUGCAGCAACGCCGCGUGCGGGAUAACGGCCUUCGGGUUGUAAACCGCUUUCGCCUGUGACGAAGCGUGAGUGACGGUAAUGGGUAAAGAAGCACCGGCUAACUACGUG